GACGAACGCUGGCGGCGUGCUUAACACAUGCAAGUCGAACGGUUCGGCCCUGCUUUUGUGGGGUGCUCGAGUGGCGAACGGGUGAGUAACACGUGAGUAACCUGCCCUUGACUUUGGGAUAACUUCAGGAAACUGGGGCUAAUACCGGAUAGGAGCUCCUGCUGCAUGGUGUGGGUUGGAAAGUUUGGGCGGUUGGGGAUGGACGCGCGGCUUAUCAGCUUGUUGGUGGGGUAGUGGCUUACCAAGGCUUUGACGGGUAGCCGGCCUGAGAGGGUGACCGGCCACAAUGGGACUGAGGGACGGCCCAGACGCCUACGGGAGGCAGCAGUGGGGAAUAUUGCACAAUGGGCGGAAGCCUGAGGCAGCAACGCCGCGUGCGGGAUGACGGCCUGCGGGUUGUAAACCGCGUUCGCCUGUGACGAAGCGUGAGUGACGGUAAUGGGUAAAGAAGCACCGGCUAACUACGUG
rnacentral:rRNA from 1 species